CUGCUGUCAUGAUUGUUGAAAGGAACAUUGGGAGCUACUUCUGACUUGUCGGUUAUUGGAGAAGCAAACAUGGUUAAAACCUUUGCUCAUCCUUGAUUUAUCACCUUGAUUCCUCUUUGAACUAUGAUAGCUACUUGUAUUGUUUGGACAGUUCCGGUUGAGUAGAAACAAAAACAAGCGGUUUGGGAUGAACACUGGUAAGGUCCUCCUUUCUAAAUUGUUUGACAUUGGAAGAUUUAAUGUGUUUGGUGGUUUGAACUGGGCUGUUAUUGCAGGGUUGCAGUGGCGUUUAAGGGACCGACAGUGUUGCAUUGUGAAUUGGUAGGAUUGAAUGGAAGAAAAUGCACUUCUUGUGCACCAGCGCAUGCCUCAUUUGGAUCAUCCAACGUCCCAACUAUGGAGGUGUCUAUUUGUUGGUGAAAAA
rnacentral:lncRNA from 1 species